UGGGGAAUUUUGGGACAAUGGGCGAAAGCCUGAUCCAGCAAUGCCGCGUGUGUGAAGAAGGCCUUCGGGUUGUAAAGCACUUUUGUCCGGAAAGAAAUCCUUGGCUCUAAUACGUCGGGGGAUGACGGUCCGGAAGAAUAAGCACCGGCUAACUACGUGCCAGCAGCCGCGGUAAUACGUAGGGUGCAAGCGUUAAUCGGAAUUACUGGGCGUAAAGCGUGCGCAGGCGGUUUGCUAAGACCGAUGUGAAAUCCCCGGGCUCAACUGGGAACUGCAUUGGUGACUGGGCAGGCUAGAGUAUGGGCAGGAGGGGGGUAGAAUUCCACGUGUGAGCAGUGAAAUGCGUAGAGAUGGUGGAGGAAUACCGAUGGCGAAGGCAGCCCCCUGGGCCAAUACUGACGCUCAUGCACGAAAGCGU
rnacentral:rRNA from 1 species